GACGAACGCUGGCGGCGUGCUUAACACAUGCGAGUCGAACGGAAAGGCCCUGCUUUUGUGGGGUGCUCGAGUGGCGAACGGGUGAGUAACACGUGAGUAACCUGCCCUUAACUUUGGGAUAACUUCAGGAAACUGGGGCUAAUACCGGAUAGGAGCUCCUGCUGCAUGGUGGGGGUUGGAAAGUUUCGGCGGUUGGGGAUGGACUCGCGGCUUAUCAGCUUGUUGGUGGGGUAGUGGCUUACCAAGGCUUUGACGGGUAGCCGGCCUGAGAGGGUGACCGGCCACAUUGGGACUGAGAUACGGCCCAGACUCCUACGGGAGGCAGCAGUGGGGAAUAUUGCACAAUGGGCGGAAGCCUGAUGCAGCAACGCCGCGUGCGGGAUGACGGCCUUCGGGUUGUAAACCGCUUUCGCCUGUGACGAAGCGUGAGUGACGGUAAUGGGUAAAGAAGCACCGGCUAACUACGUG
rnacentral:rRNA from 1 species